GUGGGGAAUAUUGGACAAUGGGCGAAAGCCUGAUCCAGCCAUGCCGCGUGUGUGAAGAAGGUCUUCGGAUUGUAAAGCACUUUAAGUUGGGAGGAAGGGCAGUAAGUUAAUACCUUGCUGUUUUGACGUUACCGACAGAAUAAGCACCGGCUAACUUCGUGCCAGCAGCCGCGGUAAUACGAAGGGUGCAAGCGUUAAUCGGAAUUACUGGGCGUAAAGCGCGCGUAGGUGGUUUUGUAAGUUGGAGGUGAAAUCCCCGUGCUAAACCUGGGAACUGCCUCCAAAACUGCAGGACUAGAGUACGGUAGAGGGUAGUGGAAUUUCCUGUGUAGCGGUGAAAUGCGUAGAUAUAGGAAGGAACACCAGUGGCGAAGGCGACUACCUGGACUGAUACUGACACUGAGGUGCGAAAGCGUGGGGAGCAAACAGGAUUAGAAACCCUAGUAGUCC
rnacentral:rRNA from 1 species